CAGUCGCCGCGGUAAUACGUAGGGUGCAAGCGUUAAUCGGAAUUGCUGGGCGUAAAGCGUGCGCAGGCGGUCCGCUAAGACAGAUGUGAAAUCCCCGGGCUUAACCUGGGAACUGCAUUUGUGACUGGCGGGCUAGAGUAUGGCAGAGGGGGGUAGAAUUCCACGUGUAGCAGUGAAAUGCGUAGAGAUGUGGAGGAAUACCGAUGGCGAAGGCAGCCCCCUGGGCCAAUACUGACGCUCAUGCACGAAAGCGUGGGGAGCAAACAGGAUUAGAUACCCGGGUAGUCCCUGUCUCUUAUAC
rnacentral:rRNA from 1 species